CAUGAGAGGAUGGUGGGGGGAUCACAUCUGAAAUCUUUAUCUUUAAUCUCUCACCACACUCGACUGACCAUUUUGCUGGAAACCAUUGCCAAACUGCGGUGAAACUUGUACAUUUCGGCUUCCUGCCCAGUAGAUUUGAGACUCAUCUUCCAGUCAUUCAGUCAGUUCUAGUAUAGAACUAGGAUGGAUUCCAAAUUGAAGCUUAAAUGCAACUCUCCAAUCAACGAUUUUUCUGAGAGCAGGGAUCGACCUCCAGGAACUGGCUCUCCCAUUCUCUCCUCCACCACCCAUCAACCUAUGGCUCCUGACAACCAAGAAAAGAAGCUGUGCUGCCUCCAGACCAGAGUCACCUGUGGACGGAGGAUCGUCAGCUAAGUGGGGGAUAUGAUGAAGGGUCUGUUGUAAAACUGGGCACAAAGGAACUGAUUUGGACUGCCUAGACCAGAGCUUUACAGCCAUCUCUCAGCCCUGCCAAAAUUGAACCACACAUCAGUCACUUUCUUGAGGUGAAUCUUAGAAGCCCUGUGGUGCUGUCCAGAGAGCUGUGUUUACAAUGUUCUCAACCCUGCAGCCAAAUAACUAAUAAAAGGUUAGAGUUUAGCCUCAGCAAAAAGCCGGAAAGUUGAACAUGUGCCUUUGAACUGCAUUCCCUUCUAUUGAGUUUGGAAAG